AGAAGAUGCUGUUUGGAGCCAGGUUGCCAAAGCUCAACUCAGAGAGGGAUUAGUGAGUGAUGCUAUUGAAUCAUUUAUUCGGGCAGAUGAUGCUACCCAAUUCUUGGAUGUCAUUCAUGCUGCAGAAGAUGCAGAUGUUUAUCAUGACUUAGUGAAGUAUUUGCUGAUGGUAAGGCAAAAGACUAAGGAACCCAAGGUUGACAGUGAACUCAUUUAUGCUUAUGCUAAGAUUGAUCGAUUGGGCGAAAUUGAAGAAUUCAUUUUAAUGCCAAAUGUUGCUAAUCUACCAAAUGUUGGUGAUCGCUUGUAUGAUGGAGCGUUGUAUGAGGCUGCAAAGAUCAUAUUUGCUUUUAUUUCUAAUUGGGCUAAGUUGGCAAGCACUCUUAUAAAGUUGAAUCAAUUCCAAGGUGCUGUUGAUGCAGCCCGUAAAGCGAACAGUGCAAAAACAUGGAAAGAAGUCUGCUUUGCUUGUGUUGAUGCUGAG
rnacentral:misc_RNA from 1 species